UGGGAAUCUUAGACAAUGGGGGAACCCUGAUCUAGCCAUGCCGCGUGAGCGAUGAAGGCCUUAGGGUUGUAAAGCUCUUUCAGCUGGGAAGAUAAUGACGGUACCAGCAGAAGAAGCCCCGGNUAACUCCGUGCCAGCAGCCGCGGUAAUACGGAGGGGGCUAGCGUUGUUCGGAAUUACUGGGCGUAAAGCGCACGUAGGCGGAUUAGUCAGUCAGAGGUGAAAUCCCAGGGCUCAACCCUGGAACUGCCUUUGAUACUGCUAGUCUUGAGGCCGAGAGAGGUGAGUGGAAUUCCCGAGUGUAGAGGUGAAAUUCGUAGAUAUUCGGAGGAACACCAGUGGCGAAGGCGGCUCACUGGCUCGAUACUGACGCUGAGGUGCGAAAGCGUGGGGGAGCAAAACAGGAUUAGAUACCCUGGUAGUCCACGCCGUAAACGAUGAUGCCAGUCGUCGGGUUGCAUGCAAUUCGGUGACACACCUAAACGGAUUUAAAGCCAUUUCCGCCUGGGGAGUACGGUCGCAAGAUUAAAACUUAAAGGAAUUGAC
rnacentral:rRNA from 1 species